rnacentral:rRNA from 1 species
UAGGGUGACCUGCGGAGGGAUCAUU